UGAGGAAUAUUGGUCAAUGGACGCAAGUCUGAACCAGCCAUGCCGCGUGAAGGAUGAAGGCGUUCUGCGUUGUAAACUUCUUUUGCGGGGGAAGAAACCUGGAUUUUCUAAUUCAGCCGACGGUACCCCGAGAAUAAGCACCGGCUAACUCCGUGCCAGCAGCCGCGGUAAUACGGAGGGUGCAAGCGUUAUCCGGAUUUACUGGGUUUAAAGGGUGUGUAGGCGGACUAUUUAAGUCAGCGGUGAAAUCUCCGGGCUCAACCCGGAAACUGCCAUUGAUACUAUUAGUCUUGAAUGUUGUUGAGGUGGGCGGAACGGGUCAUGUAGCGGUGAAAUGCAUAGAUAUGACCCGGAACACCGAUUGCGAAGGCAGCCCACUAAGCAACGAUUGACGCUGAGGCACGAAAGCGUGGGGAUCAAACAG
rnacentral:rRNA from 1 species